rnacentral:ncRNA from 1 species
CGACCUCAGAUCAGGCGGGACUACCCGCCGGAUUUAAGCAUAUUAAUAAGCGGAGGAAAAGAAAACAACCGUGAUUCCCUUAGUAGCGGCGAGCGAACCGGGAAAAGCCCAUCGCCGAAUCUCGCCGCGCACUUUUGUGUCGCGGCACGUAUGAGAGUUGUGGCGUACGGGCCGGCCUCGUUGCCGGGGCGCACGUGACGGUCCAAGUCUCCCUUGAACGGGGCCAUGGCCCGCAGAUGGUGCCAGGCCAGUAGAGGCCGUCACAGCGUUCCGGGAUCGGACCGCGCCUUCGAGUCGGGUUGCUUGAGAGUGCAGCCCGAAGCGGGUGGUAAACUCCAUCUAAGGCUAAAUACGGCCACGAGACCGAUAGUUUACAAGUACCGUGAGGGAAAGUUGAAAAGAACUUUGAAGAGAGAGUUCAUAAGAACGUGAAACCGCUCGGUUGUAAACGGACAGAGCUCGCGAAUCCCCGCCGGGCGAAUUCACGGUCGGUCUAACCGCCGGGCCGGAUCUUUCGCUCGGUUAGCGGACGUCGCGACCCGUUGGGCGCCGGGCCGAAUGGCCCGGGUGACGUUCGUCGCGUCGGUCGCGUUUCGGCGUGACCGUUCGCGCCGAGCCCCGGUGCUCAUGGUCGGCUCGCCCGACGGCAAGAACCGUCGACGCGGCCCCGUCGCAGGCGGGGUCCCGUCGGUCGGCGACGUGUUUCGAGCUACUUUCCGACCCGUCUUGAAACACGGACCAAGGAGUCUAACGUGUGCGCGAGUCAACGGUGAUCUUACGAAAAACCACGUUUGGCGCAAUGAAAGUGAACCGUUUACGGUGCGGACGAUGGCCUAGCGACCGAACCCACCGGCGUUCAAAGUCGCGCUGGUCCGCAGUCCGGGGGCGUCUCCGCCAAGUCGGCUUCGGCCGGCUGGGGGCGCACCCUUAGCGCACACGUUGGUACCCGAAAGAUGGUGAACUAUGCCUGGCCAGGAUGAAGUCAGGGGAAACCCUGAUGGAGGUCCGCAGCGAUUCUGACGUGCAAAUCGAUCGUCUGAGCUGGGUAUAGGGGCGAAAGACUAAUCGAACCAUCUAGUAGCUGGUUCCAUCCGAAGUUUCCCUCAGGAUAGCUGGCG